AAAGAAAGCUGGGGGCAUGCCUAACACAUGCAAGUCGAACGAGACCUUCGGGUCUAGUGGCGCACGGGUGCGUAACGCGUGGGAACCUGCCCUUAGGUUCGGAAUAACUCCCCGAAAGGGGUGCUAAUACCGGAUAAUGUCUUCGGACCAAAGAUUUAUCGCCUUUGGAUGGGCCCGCGUUGGAUUAGCUAGUUGGUAGGGUAAAAGCCUACCAAGGCGACGAUCCAUAGCUGGUCUGAGAGGAUGAUCAGCCACACUGGGACUGAGACACGGCCCAGACUCCUACGGGAGGCAGCAGUGGGGAAUAUUGGACAAUGGGCGAAAGCCUGAUCCAGCAAUGCCGCGUGAGUGAUGAAGGCCUUAGGGUUGUAAAGCUCUUUUACCCGGGAUGAUAAUGACAGUACCGGGAGAAUAAGCUCCGGCUAACUCCGUG
rnacentral:rRNA from 1 species